AAUACUGCUUUCUCAUUUUGUAAUCUCAUCAACUUCUCCUUUUCUAGACUUUAUGUAAUGCUGUCCCCAAAAAACAGACUCAGAAUCUCCAGUCAUAGGGGAACAAAAUACCAUGGCAGUGCCAGUGAUCACCCAGCAGCCUGGAUAUGGCACCUAUGCUGCCAUGUCUCCAACUGGUGAGUGGAGCAGCCAGCUCUGUGACUGUUGCUCGGACUGCGGCACCUGUCUCCUUGGAUUCUGUUUCCCAACAUGUUUAGCGUGUUAUGUGGCUGAUAAAUACGGUGAAAGCUGCUGUUUGCCCAUUGUCCCAGGAGGGAUGACUGCAAUGCGAACACACAUGCGAUUGACUUAUGGCAUUCGAGGUACUAUAUGCAAUGAUGGCCUUAUGAUGUUGUUCUGUGGAUGGUGUGAGGUGUGUAGAAUGGCUCGGGAAAUGAAACGUUAUCACCGUUAAGCUACGUGGCUGCAAGCAGAAUGCAACUGCAAGAGAAAUUGGAGUAGUCCCUAGGAAGGAACUGUACAACUGAAUCUUCAUUUUUUUUUUUUUUUUUUU